rnacentral:lncRNA from 13 species
UAUCAAUCAUUUUACCAAUCAGAGCUUCGGACAUCAAUGUCGCUUCUCUCUUUAUAUAGGACUCUAUAUAGGACCCUAGUCGACAUGGUCGACACUUAGGUUAGAAUCAAAAAGUCAAGCAAAGUUAAGUAAAAAAAAAUAAGAAUAAUAAUAAUUAAGGCCAAAAUAUUUAGACACGAUCCCAAAUAUUUAGACGCGCACGGAAAAUCGAUACGUGCAAGAUGUAUGCAUGCGCGCGUGUGCGUAUACUUUUGGCAGCUACGUGCCAGACGAGAAUUGAUUAUCACAUACACAACUCGCACAAGCGGUUCUCCGAGUCUGAGAUCGUGCCAAAACGUUCGGACCUUAAUUAUAAAAUUAAAAUUAUUAUUGUAAAUAAAGGGUUAUGUAACUUUGAUUUAUAUUUGUUUCUUAUUUUUUUGUUUAUAGUGUUUAUAAUUAAUAUUAAUAUUAUAAAUACGGUACGAAAAUGCGAAGUUUUUGGCUGCCCUGUUAUGGGGUUAUGUGAUAGGGGUUACGAUUAUUUUACUUUCCAAAAUGUGAAAAACAACGUUUAUCUUGGCUAUCUUGGAUAAAAGUCAAACGACCUGGAUGGAUCCCUAAAACGAAUAGUUGUAUAUGUGAAUUGUACUUUGCUCUAAAUUGUUAUGCGAAGCGACAGGAUGGCAAGAAAAUAUUAAAAAAUACAGCUAUACUCAGUUUGCAACAAAAGUCAUUAGAAAACCAGUCAUUUGAAUAUCCAGAGCUACAAAGAGAAACAUUAAAAUACAUAGAAAAUGCAGAGCAUUUAAAGGCAUCAUUGGAAAGAUUUCAAACUUCUAAAACUAUAGUUUAUUUAUCGGAUAUUACUAAUGCUUUUCAUGCGAAAAAAUUAAUUGUUUUACAUGAUUCAGAUUGUUCAACAUCUGUUUUAUCAAAGAAAUUGCUAUCUCAAGUGUCUUCUGUUAGAGACUCUACAGUAGAUAAAGGAAUUACUGAAUCAUCUGAAUCAAGUAAUAAUAUUUCUUUGAACCAUCCUGAUUAUUCUUUUUUAAAUGACUCUAUACCAAUAAAAGUUACACAGUCAUUCUUAUUUUGUCCAGUUAACAAAUCUGAUAUACCUAUAGAAAA